rnacentral:rRNA from 1 species
UAGGGAAUCUUCGGCAAUGGACGAAAGUCUGACCGAGCAACGCCGCGUGAGUGAAGAAGGUUUUCGGAUCGUAAAACUCUGUUGUUAGAGAAGAACAAGGACGUUAGUAACUGAACGUCCCCUGACGGUAUCUAACCAGAAAGCCACGGCUAACUACGUGCCAGCAGCCGCGGUAAUACGUAGGUGGCAAGCGUUGUCCGGAUUUAUUGGGCGUAAAGCGAGCGCAGGCGGUUUCUUAAGUCUGAUGUGAAAGCCCGCGGCUCAACCGGGGAGGGUCAUUGGAAACUGGGAGACUUGAGUGCAGAAGAGGAUAGUGGAAUUCCAUGUGUAGCGGUGAAAUGCGUAGAUAUAUGGAGGAACACCAGUGGCGAAGGCGGCUCUCUGGUCUGUAACUGACGCUGAGGCUCGAAAGCGUGGGGAGCAAACAGG